rnacentral:rRNA from 1 species
UUCCUCUAUAACCAGGGUCUCAUUUGACAUCAGAAGCUAAGCAGGGUUGAGCCUGGAAGAUCCAUGGAUGGGAGACCACCAGGGAAUACAAGGUGAGGAAA